rnacentral:rRNA from 1 species
UACGGAGGGUGCAAGCGUUAUCCGGAUUUAUUGGGUUUAAAGGGUGCGUAGGCGGUUUGAUAAGUCAGCGGUGAAAUAUUUCAGCUUAACUGGAAGGGUGCCGUUGAUACUGUCAGGCUUGAAUUUAGUUGCUGUGGGUGGAAUGUGUGGUGUAGCGGUGAAAUGCAUAGAUAUCACACAGAAUAUCGAUUGCGAAGGCAGCUCACAAAGCUAAAAUUGACGCUGAUGCACGAAAGUGUGGGGAUCAAACAGG